UAUGCUGAGGGGGAAGAAACGGGUCUAGUACAGCUAUAACACAAGUGGUCAUGAAAACUAUUUUCAAACGGACGACCUUUCUUUUGUCCUAAAACCCUCGUCGCUCCGCUAAUACACAUAAUAUGUGCUAUAUUUUCAGAUGACGUUUAAUUGGUUAUGGAGAGAUUAAUGAGGACGGUUUCGUUUGGGGAAAAUCAUGGCCCGAGAUCCCGAGAAAGGAAACUAUUGAGUUGACAUAAACGGCCUAACUCACCACACCUUUGAUCACACCUGCAAUUGGAGAUUCAUUUGAUUAUGUUUGUGAAUGUUUCCCGGUUCGAGAGCGUUGCUAAAAUAACGAUAAGUUCGAAAUAAAAUAUUUGUAUGCAAAAGGCGACAUAUCAGUUCUAAAAUGGGAUUGGCCGUGUUCUUUGGGUGUUCAUUUAUAACUUUCGGACCGGCUUUUGCAUUGCUUAUGUUUACUGUGACAGACAGUCCUGUUCGAGUGAUUAUAUUGGUGGUAGGGGCCAGUUUAUGGCUGGUCGGUCUCGUGCUGUCCUCUUUGAUGUGGUAUGCCCUAGUAUCCCUCUGCGGUGGCUCAGAUCCAAACCUGCAGCUGCAGCUUCUAGCAGCGGUGGCGGCAGUGGCUGUGUUUAUUCAGGAGGCGCUCAGGGCCGCUUCCUACAAGCUACUAAGAUUUUUUUCUCACGAGACAACACAUGCAGCUCUUGCCAGUUUUGUUGUGAAAGGAGGACCUACCCUUUCUCUGCAACAAAAGGCCUUCGUCAGUGGUCUGGCCUUUGGCCUAAUGAGCUCAGCCUUUUCCUUUGCCAACAUCCUGUCAGUGUCGCUGGGGCCGGGCAUUGUGGGAAUUCACGGGGAAUCGUCUCACUUCUUCAUUACCUCUGUUUUCUCCAAUAUGUCCCUGCCUCUUGUCCCUUUCCCUCUCUCUCCUCUCUGUUGUCCUGCCUUGCCUUCCCCCUCUCCACUGUCUGUCCUCAGCUUUUCAGGCCAUGAUGCAGUCCGGCCUGCAGGUCUGCUGGUCAGUGCUGCUCUUCUCUGCCUGUGAGAGGCGGAGCUGGGCCAGGGGUGUUGCCGUGGUGCUGUCACACCUGCUGAGCUGUGGACUGUCUUUUCUGAACCCUCGCUAUUGUCUAAGCCUGCUGCUGCAGAGUGUCCUGCUGGUUGCCGUGGUGAUGUGGUCUUGGGUGGAGGCUGGAGGGCGUGGGUGUCCAUGUUUGCUGCGCAUUGGAGGCCGGCCUUUAACGAAGGUGGAAGCGGUACAGUAUUCUGCCCUAAGGAGUCCUGUGGAACACUGAUGCAGUACCCAUCCCUGCCUGAACCACAAUUGGGGCAGCACUGAGACACAAUUCUGUGAUUGCGGUGCAUUUGUCUUACUCUCAUAUAAAUUUGUUUGCACUUGCAAGGUCAA